rnacentral:lncRNA from 1 species
UUGAAUUAGAAUCUAUAAAUAUCAAGUUCAAAUUAUUUGUUUUUUCUGUUCUCGCUGAUUAUUUGAUUUUUACCAAAUUGUUUACAAUUACAGACGCUUUAGUAGCCAAGCUGGUUGCUUGGCUCAGUUGGCUGGUGUCGGGAAGAUGACGACUGGGGCGCUGACGUCAGCCAAUCAUUUUUAUAGCGGCUUAUUUAAAUUUCAGAUCAUAUGAUGGCGAAGACAGACUUUACUUACUGUGCAGGAGAAUUUGUUAUUAUUAUAAAAAAGGUGGUUGCGGCCGUCACAUAUUUGCCAAAGGUGUCGUCCGACCUGUAGUCAGUGGUUGACAAAAUCGCAACUUUGGCUUGUUGCAAAACUUUGAAGGGGGAAGUGGAUCUGGAAUUCAAUAAUGGAAAGUAGGUUAAAUCAAUAAUGAUUUGGUAUUUUCAUUCUUCCAUGGCAACUAUAUAAUUCCCCAUCCCAACAUAAUGGCAUCACGUGUCGGUCGGGGUCUGCAUUGGCAGACCAGUAGGUGCAACAGUCCUGGAAAUCAACCACGGGAGAAAGUCCAGUACGACGGUGGCGAUGUCGUUGGCCUAGUCAAAAGUGUCAAAAUUGAAUCAAGUGUCAAAAAUGGGUCGUUUAUGUUUGUUGGUUUUUCUAUUCACAUGGAUUGAUCAAAUGUCGAUGUUGAUCAAUGUUGAUAAAUAAAUACUAUAUCUAACUAGAAAUCAUUGAGCUCUAAAUAUACCUGAUUCCCACAAUCUCCAUUCCUAACGAAUUGUCUAAUUUGACUAGGAACAACAUUGUAUCGAUAUUUAGUUCUCCAUCGAUUUGAUAAUCGAUUAAUAAUUGGUAAACAUUGAAAUUUCGUCUGCUCUUUCAACAACCGAAUAAGGACUAAGAAGCAGAAGCAACAACGUCAUCAUUUGUGUCUUUGUCAUUUCACCCGAUUUGUGAGCAAGAUGGAACAUCUGUGAGACUGUGACAGCUAAAUGGGAAAUGAACCACUUGUUAAAACAGCCAUCACAUUCAUUCUAUCUGAAUUGCUUUUCCCAUUUUAUUUCUAAACCAUAGAACAGGAGGAGAAACAAAGCACCAGAAGACAUUUUACUCAAUUAAGUUCCUCUCAAUGAGUUUGACUCCUCUGAAAGAUCAAUCCUGCCAAGCAAAAUGGAGCCCGAAGAGGUUGAUUCGACUCCACACAAUUCUGGUAACUGAAUAGGGAAGAUAAAAGUUGUCUCUACUCAGGCAAUAGCAGAAACUAAAUUCACUGAACGUGGACUUCAUCAAAUUGGUGUUAGAGAAUGCUCAACUGCUCAGAAGAUCAAGACAAUGAAUUUCGAUACAGACACUGAUGUGAUGGCCGAGUCUACCACAACGGCAUUGAACCGUUGGCAUCAGUCGAGUCCCAUUCGUUCACCCUGGGACGUAGAGCAGCGAUUGAGACUAUUGUGGCGAGAGUAUUUGUCUCUGGUGGUUAGCAUGCAGCUAAAUAAAAUGGGUGACGGCGGCGGAAACCGCUCUCAACAGCCAGGAGCGCCGGAUUGCUGAGGCGAUAACAACCAUCGAGAACUCUUCAUCGUCUCUGGCUCUCGACCAUUGUGGUAACUGGAAUGUGUCACCAGUUUAUCUUCCCCCUAACAUCAUGGAAGAUGGAUUAUUCGAAAAUGUCCAUUAGAAAAAAACUAAGAAACCGUUGGGAGGAAAUACGGAUGCGUCGAACAGUGCUCCUCUUUCCCGUUGCCAGGCAACAAUUUCUCUACUGAAAAGGAGAUUGCGUUGAAUAGUAAAUUGAUGUGCGGAUGAAGACGAUUUCGUGCUAGUCGGAGAUGCAAUAGAUUUAUCUAACCGAAUGGAGUGGAUUUGGAGGAAGAUCUGUAUUUACCUGUUUUUAGUACUGUUGCAAUGUGUGACAGAUGGUUUUUCUUGACUAAAUUUUUUCUUGAAUUCAAGUUUGUACCAGUUAAAUUUAAUGGUGUAGACUGUUUUGAUUUGUGUUAACUGGUGUAAGAUAUAUUUUUGAAACCAAGUACUGGGUGAAACUGGUUUCAAUAUGGUUAAUAAGAACAUCAAUCAUUUUAUAAAUCAAGACUUCUAAACCUGUGGACCAUCUCAACAAUUACGCUAAAUAUAAGUAACUGAAAUUUCAGCUAAGUGUGAAAUAUUUAUUGUAAUACCAAUUGGAAAUACAAGUACAACGUUGAAUAACAAGAUAAA